GACGAACGCUGGCGGCGUGCUUAACACAUGCAAGUCGAACGGAAAGGCCCUGCUUUUGUGGGGUGCUCGAGUGGCGAACGGGUGAGUAACACGUGAGUAACCUGCCCUUGCCUUUGGGAUAACUUCAGGAAACUGGGGCUAAUACCGGAUAUGAGCUCCUGCUGCAUGGUGGGGGUUGGAAAGUUUCGGCGGUUGGGGAUGGACUCGCGGCUUAUCAGCUUGUUGGUGGGGUAGUGGCUUACCAAGGCUUUGACGGGUAGCCGGCCUGAGAGGGUGACCGGCCACAUUGGGACUGAGAUACGGCCCAGACUCCUACGGGAGGCAGCAGUGGGGAAUAUUGCACAAUGGGCGGAAGCCUGAUGCAGCAACGCCGCGUGCGGGAUGACGGCCUUCGGGUUGUAAACCGCUUUCGCCUGUGACGAAGCGUGAGUGACGGUAAUGGGUAAAGAAGCACCGGCUAACUACGUG
rnacentral:rRNA from 1 species